rnacentral:tRNA from 1 species
GCCUGAGUAGCUCAGUGGGUAGAGCAGCCGUCUUGUAAAUGGCAGGUCAGCGGGUUCGAGUCCCCUCUCAGGCU